GGGGAAUAUUGGGCAAUGGGCGCAAGCCUGACCCAGCAACGCCGCGUGAGGGAAGAAGGUUUUCGGAUUGUAAACCUCUGUCGCAAGGGACGAAGAAGUGACGGUACCUUGUGAGGAAGCCCCGGCUAACUACGUGCCAGCAGCCGCGGUAAUACGUAGGGGGCGAGCGUUGUCCGGAAUUACUGGGCGUAAAGGGUGCGUAGGCGGCUAAUUAAGUUGGAUGUGAAAUACCCGGGCUUAACUUGGGGGGUGCAUUCAAAACUGGUUGGCUAGAGUUCAGGAGAGGGAAGCGGAAUUCCUAGUGUAGCGGUGAAAUGCGUAGAUAUUAGGAGGAACACCAGUGGCGAAGGCGGCUUUCUGGACUGACACUGACGCUGAUGCACGAAAGCGUGGGGAGCAAACA
rnacentral:rRNA from 2 species